rnacentral:tRNA from 1 species
GGAUGCAGCUCAGUGGUAGAGUGCUUGCUUAGCGUGCAUGGGGCCCUGGGUUCCAUCCCCAUAACCA